rnacentral:tRNA from 1 species
GGGCGAGUGGCGGAACGGCAGACGCAUCGGACUUAAAAUCCGAUCUUCCGAAAGGGAGGUGGGGGUUCGACUCCCUCCUCGCCCACC